AGCUUUGCACAGUGGCAGUAUCGUGGCCAAUGAGGUUUAUCCAAGGUGCGAUUAUUGCUAAUUGAAAACUUUUCCCAAUACCCCACUAUGACGACAUGAAAUAGGAUUGGCACUGGCAAUUUUUGGCAGUCUCUAUGGAGA
rnacentral:snRNA from 1 species